AAAGUAGCUUGCUACUUUGCUGACGAGCGGCGGACGGGUGAGUAAUGCUUGGGAACAUGCCUUGAGGUGGGGGACAACAGUUGGAAACGACUGCUAAUACCGCAUAAUGUCUACGGACCAAAGGGGGCUUCGGCUCUCGCCUUUAGAUUGGCCCAAGUGGGAUUAGCUAGUUGGUGAGGUAAUGGCUCACCAAGGCGACGAUCCCUAGCUGGUUUGAGAGGAUGAUCAGCCACACUGGGACUGAGACACGGCCCAGACUCCUACGGGAGGCAGCAGUGGGGAAUAUUGCACAAUGGGCGCAAGCCUGAUGCAGCCAUGCCGCGUGUGUGAAGAAGGCCUUCGGGUUGUAAAGCACUUUCAGUCAGGAGGAAAGGUUAGUAGUUAAUACCUGCUAGCUGUGACGUUACUGACAGAAGAAGCACCGGCUAACUCCGUGCCAGCAGCCGCGGUAAUACGGAGGGUGCGAGCGUUAAUCGGAAUUACUGGGCGUAAAGCGUACGCAGGCGGUUUG
rnacentral:rRNA from 1 species